rnacentral:rRNA from 1 species
CUCCAGACUCCUACGGGAGGCAGCAGUGGGGGAUAUUGCACAAUGGAGGAAACUCUGAUGCAGCGACGCCGCGUGAGGGAAGACGGUCUUCGGAUUGUAAACCUCUGUCUUUGGGGAAGAAAAUGACGGUACCCAAAGAGGAAGCUCCGGCUAACUACGUGCCAGCAGCCGCGGUAAUACGGAGGAUGCGAGCGUUAUCCGGAUUUAUUGGGUUUAAAGGGUGCGUAGGCGGGACGUUAAGUCAGCGGUAAAAAUGCGGAGCUCAACUCCGUCGAGCCGUUGAAACUGCCGUUCUUGAGUGAGCGAGAAGUAUGCGGAAUGCGUGGUGUAGCGGUGAAAUGCAUAGAUAUCACGCAGAACUCCGAUUGCGAAGGCAGCAUACCGGCGCUCAACUGACGCUGAAGCACGAAGGCGUGGGUAUCGAACAGGAUUAGAUACCCCCGUA